UAGAGUAACACCAUGGUAAGGCGUAAGUCAUCGGUUCAAUCCGAUAAAGGGCU
rnacentral:tRNA from 1 species